rnacentral:rRNA from 1 species
AUUGAACGCUGGCGGCAGGCCUAACACAUGCAAGUCGAACGAGUGGCGGACGGGUGAGUAAUGUCUGGGAAACUGCCUGAUGGAGGGGGAUAACUACUGGCAACGGUAGCUAAUACCGCAUCCCAUCAGAUGUGCCCAGAUGGGAGUAGCUUGUGGGUGGGGUAAAGGCUCACCAAGGCGACGAUCCCUAGCUGGUCUGAGAGGAUUCCCAGCCACACUGGAACUGCGACACGGUCCAGACUCCUACGGUAGGCAGCAGUGGGGAAUAUUGCACAAUGGGCGCAAGCCUGAUGCAGCCAUGCCGCGUGUAUGAAGAAGGCCGUCGGGUUGGAAAGUACUUGCAGCGAGGAGGCGUUACCCGCAGAAGAAGCACCGGCUAACUCCGUGCCAGCAGCCGCGGUAAUAC